UGUCAGAAGUGGGGUGCAAAGUAGAGCUUCUGACAACCCCCGGGAGUACUGAGUGAACAAGCAAGGUAUCUGCAGAACCCACUUGUGUCCACCGAUCUCUCAGAGUGCCUGGAGAUCAUGCGUAAGGAGCAAAGAAAAAUUUCUCAGAAAAGGAGAUUUGAAGCACAAUUGUCAUCAGUUCACAGAAGAAUUUUGAAGUUCUGUUUCCAGAGGCCUCUCUCUGCCUGCCCAGAGACUGUACAUCUUCAGAGAUGAGCAAAACUCUGCACUCUGCAAAAUCAGCACCCUCUGUCUAAUCAAAAGUUAACUUGGCCCAGGUUUUAGUUUCUCUGUAAGUUUUGUUGGAAAGUAAUAUAAUAAAUCUUAUUACAAGAUACAGCUGAUUAUGUAUACAUUAUGUCUUUGGAGAAAUUUGCAUUUUAAGAGGAAGGUCAAGGAUGCCUUAAUUACAAACAUUGCAUUUUUGGUUAUUUAAAUAGUAUCUGGGAAAACGGUGAAGAUAUAUAGGAAGUUAAGAAAGAUACCUGUAUCUACCACGUGUGAAAGAUUAUCUCAGUAAAUAGAAUUGGCUACAUAUUCAUCUAUUAUAAUAAUACCAAAAAAGAAGAUAUAUAUCUUCAAAGCGUCACAAUUUUUGUAGUCAGCAAAAUGAAUGGCAAAGAUAAUGAGAGAAUAAAGAUACAAAAAUGAGUAUUUAAAAAUAGAAUUCCAAUGGGAAAACUGUUAAUUUUAAAAAUUAUA
rnacentral:lncRNA from 1 species